UAGCGCUGUGGAACCACCCGAUCCCAUCCCGAACUCGGAAGUGAAAUGCAGCUGCGCCGAUGGUAA
rnacentral:rRNA from 1 species